GCAGCUGUAGCUCAGUUAGUUAGAGCGCCUGUCUGUGGAACAGGAGGUCGUUGGUGCAACUCCAACCAGCUGUA
rnacentral:tRNA from 1 species